CAAUAGCGUAUAUUAAUGUUGUUGCAGUUAAAAAGCUCGUAGUUGGAUUUCUGGUGGGAGCGGCCGGUCCGCCGCAAGGUGUGUACUUGGUUGUCUCCUGUCAUCCUUGUGGGAACUGCUCUGGCAUUAAGUUGUCGGGGUUAGGGAACACAUCGUUUACUGUGAAAAAAUUAGAGUGUUUAAAGCAGGCUUAUGCCGUUGAAUACAUUAGCAUGGAAUAAUAAGAUAGGACUUUGGCGUCUAUUUUGUUGGUUUGCACACCAAGGUAAUGAUUAAUAGGGAUAGUUGGGGGUAUUCGUAUUUAAUUGUCAGAGGUGAAAUUCUUGGAUUUAUGAAAGACGAACUUCUGCGAAAGCAUUUACCAAAGAUGUUUUCAUUAA
rnacentral:rRNA from 1 species